AUUGUAUGAAGUCCCUGAUAGUUGUCCAGAUCCUCUGAUUUAUUUUCGCAAAGAACAAUUGGAACCUCAAUUAUAUUAGUAAAACAAGCUAAAUCGAAUGUGAUUAACUUACAUUGACUCCAAGAGAUCGAAAGUAUGGCAACCAAAAGAUACUAACUCGUUCAUAAGAAUAGUUAUCAGAAUAGACUAAGCAAAUCACAUUUGCCUUUUUUAUUUCUGCUGCUAAAUAUUCUCUUUCAUUGCUAUCCGCUACACGUCGUCAUAUUAGCUUUGAAAAAAUAUCCACAAAAAGUUAAACUAAGAAUUCUCACAUUGCGUGUCUACGAGAACAAGAGAAACAUCGUCAUUUGAAUCCGGAUUAGAGGGUAUGGAUAUAAUCGGAAAUACCUAGCGCAUUAGAACAAUAAAUUAUACUAUGAGAGCAAGCUACCUUAGGAAUGCUCGUCACAUUGUCUUCUUGAAUCAAAGCCGAAAUUAAAGAAGAUUUUCCUACGCCUUGGUCACCGCAAAUUACUACUCUAACUUCUUUCAUUGUAAAAUGAAUGGCUUCAACUCACUAAGGAUCAUUUCAGCGUGGUAGGGUGAAACACAAUUCCAGAGUUGGUCGAAAAUAUGUACAGCGUCGAAAAGUACUUGACGUUUGCAAAAACUAAAAAAAAAAGCAAACCGAAAACUUUAGGUAAUAAAAAAUUAUUUUAUUAUAGAAAUAUGGGUGAUGUUCGCUUUCCUCACACACAGCGUUGUUUUAACCAUUAAAAUGAUUUUGGGCUGCCAAGGGAACAACAACUAUUACUAUAAGUACAAAGAAAUUUAAUUAGUAGAAGCACAAUUGAAAUAUCUUGAAAUAUUGAGAAUACAUGCAUCUUUUUUUAAACGCAUUUCUAAAACCGCGUCGCCACUAGAAAGACCCCAUAAUAACAGGAUUCUGUUAUUUUAUUAAAUGAUAGAAUUGAUUAUAACUGUUGUUUCUGUUUACAGAGUACUCUCCGUAGUAUCUUUCAUCGAUUUUACGUUGUAAAAGUGCCCACAGCUGCUCUAAUAAAAAAGUUGCAACUAUGAAAUUAGGACUGACAAGUUAAAUGCGAAUAACUUAUUAAUUAAUUCAUGAAAGCAC